rnacentral:rRNA from 1 species
CCCAGCACCCAUAUCACCCUGCUGCCCAAGACCAGUUACUCACUGAAGCUAAGCAGGGCUGAGCCUGGUCAGUACCUGGAUGGGGGACCACAUGGGAAAACUAGGUUGCUGUUGGAA